rnacentral:rRNA from 1 species
GACGAACGCUGGCGGCGUGCUUAACACAUGCAAGUCGAACGGUGAACCUCUUCGGAGGGGAUCAGUGGCGAACGGGUGAGUAACACGUGGGCAACCUGCCCCCGGCUCUGGGAUAACUCCAAGAAAUUGGGGCUAAUACCGGAUGUUCACCGCUUCCCGCCUGGGUGGUGGUGCAAAGGGUUUCCGGCUGGGGAUGGGCCCGCGGCCUAUCAGCUUGUUGGUGGGGUAGUGGCCUACCAAGGCGACGACGGGUAGCCGGCCUGAGAGGGUGACCGGCCACACUGGGACUGAGACACGGCCCAGACUCCUACGGGAGGCAGCAGUGGGGAAUAUUGCGCAAUGGGCGGAAGCCUGACGCAGCGACGCCGCGUGGGGGAUGACGGCCUUCGGGUUGUAAACCUCUUUCAGCAGGGACGAAGCGCAAGUGACGGUACCUGCAGAAGAAGCACCGGCCAACUACGUG